rnacentral:rRNA from 1 species
CGGGGUGCAGCAGGCGCGAAAACUUUGCAAUAAGCGAAAGCUUGACAGGGCUAUCCCGAGUGCCAUCCGCUGAGGAAGGCUUUUACCCAGUCUAGAACGCUGGGGGAAUAAGGGGAGGGCAAGUCUGGUGUCAGCCGCCGCGGUAAUACCAGCUCUCCGAGUGGUGUGGAUGUUUAUUGGGCCUAAAGCAUCCGUAGCUGGCUAAGUUAGUCCCUUGUUAAAUCCACCAAAUUAAUUGUUGGAUUGCGGGGGAUACUGCUUGGCUAGGGGACGAGAGAGGCAGACGGUAUUUUCGGGGUAGGGGUGAAAUCCUAUAAUCCCGGGAAGACCACCAGUGGCGAAGGCUGUCUGCUAGAACGCGCCCGACGGUGAGGGAUGAAAGCUGGGGGAGCGAACCGGAUUAGAUACCCGGGUAGUCCCAGCUGUAAACGAUGCAGACUAGGUGUUUGGACGGCCACGUGCCGUUCUAGUGCCGCAGGGAAGCUGUUAAGUCUGCCGCCUGGGGAGUACGAUCGCAAGAUUGAAACUUAAAGGAAUUGGCGGGGGAGCACAAGGGCGAAUG